UACGAAGGGGGCUAGCGUUGUUCGGAAUUACUGGGCGUAAAGCGUGCGCAGGCGGUUCGCUAAGACAGAUGUGAAAUCCCCGGGCUUAACCUGGGAACUGCAUUUGUGACUGGCGGGCUAGAGUAUGGCAGAGGGGGGUAGAAUUCCACGUGUAGCAGUGAAAUGCGUAGAGAUGUGGAGGAAUACCGAUGGCGAAGGCAGCCCCCUGGGCCAAUACUGACGCUCAUGCACGAAAGCGUGGGGAGCAAACAGG
rnacentral:rRNA from 1 species